rnacentral:rRNA from 1 species
CAUGUAGGCGGAUUAAUAAGUUUGAAGUGAAAUCCUAUAGCUUAACUAUAGAACUGCUUUGAAAACUGUUAAUCUAGAAUGUGGGAGAGGUAGAUGGAAUUUCUGGUGUAGUGGUAAAAUCCGUAGAGAUCAGAAGGAAUACCGAUUGCGAAGGCGAUCUACUGGAACAUUAUUGACGCUGAGAUGCGAAAGCGUGGGGAGCAAACA